rnacentral:rRNA from 1 species
GCUCAGGACGAACGCUGGCGGCGUGCCUAAUACAUGCAAGUAGAACGCUGAAGACUUUAACUUGCUAAAGUUGGAAGAGUUGCGAACGGGUGAGUAACGCGUAGGUAACCUGCCUACUAGCGGGGGAUAACUAUUGGAAACGAUAGCUAAUACCGCAUAACAGCAUUUAACCCAUGUUAGAUGCUUGAAAGGAGCAAUUGCUUCACUAGUAGAUGGACCUGCGUUGUAUUAGCUAGUUGGUGAGGUAACGGCUCACCAAGGCGACGAUACAUAGCCGACCUGAGAGGGUGAUCGGCCACACUGGGACUGAGACACGGCCCAGACUCCUACGGGAGGCAGCAGUA